GCUUCAGGGACAGGAGAAGUUUUUUCUAAAUUUUUUAUAAAAGUUUAAUCUUCUUGUUCUAUUUUGUUGGGGUGACAAAAAUAUAAAUACUUUAACUGUUAUAUGGUGAAAACAAUGAUUAUUGGAGUUUAAUUGAUCCUUAUUAAAGAUUAAAAGACUAAGUU
rnacentral:rRNA from 1 species